rnacentral:rRNA from 1 species
CAUGCAAGUCGAACGAUGAAGCUCCAGCUUGCUGGGGUGGAUUAGUGGCGAACGGGUGAGUAACACGUGAGCAACCUGCCCCUGACUCUGGGAUAAGCGCUGGAAACGGCGUCUAAUACUGGAUAUGUCCCAUCACCGCAUGGUGUGUGGGUGGAAAGAUUUUUCGGUUGGGGAUGGGCUCGCGGCCUAUCAGCUUGUUGGUGAGGUAAUGGCUCACCAAGGCGUCGACGGGUAGCCGGCCUGAGAGGGUGACCGGCCACACUGGGACUGAGACACGGCCCAGACUCCUACGGGAGGCAGCAGUGGGGAAUAUUGCACAAUGGGCGGAAGCCUGAUGCAGCAACGCCGCGUGAGGGAUGACGGCCUUCGGGUUGUAAACCUCUUUUAGCAGGGAAGAAGCGAGAGUGACGGUACCUGCAGAAAAAGCGCCGGCUAACUACGUGCCAGCAGCCGCGGUAAUACGUAGGGCGCAAGCGUUAUCCGGAAUUAUUGGGCGUAAAGAGCUCGUAGGCGGUUUGUCGCGUCUGCUGUGAAAUCCCGAGGCUCAACCUCGGGCUUGCAGUGGGUACGGGCAGACUAGAGUGCGGUAGGGGAGAUUGGAAUUCCUGGUGUAGCGGUGGAAUGCGCAGAUAUCAGGAGGAACACCGAUGGCGAAGGCAGAUCUCUGGGCCGUAACUGACGCUGAGGAGCGAAAGGGUGGGGAGCAAACAGGCUUAGAUACCCUGGUAGUCCACGCUGUAA